rnacentral:lncRNA from 1 species
AGCGCCUCCCCACGUCGCCUCCAUCGCCUUGCCGACCGAUUCGUCAGCACCAACGAACCCUCGGUGACCAGCCACUCGUCCCCAGCCCCUCGUCGAUUCUUUUCUGUUGCCGUAGUCUUCUUCCUGAGGCCACUUCGGCCAUGACCAUCAUGGUAGUGAGCCGAAGCUUGUGCUUUUACCUCAGCUUGCCUUGCUUCCGCGUGCUCGGCCCUCUCUGUUUGCCCAUGCAAACGCAGCCGCCUUGCUCAUUCUCUGUCCCAUGCUCGCGCGCAUCACCGCAGUCGCACGCCCGAACCGAGCCAUGCUCGCGCUCGAGCACAGCCCCUGCACUGCCUCGCCUUGCGCGUCGUCAUAGCUGCGCCCGCACCCUGUCCAUGCACCUAUCACUACAGCAACCGAACCAUGCGCAGGAGCACGCCCACCGCGUCCUCGCUCCUCACGCAACGCCACUGUAGCUCUAGCCUCGCCUUGUUGUGUGCCGUAGCCGAGACGAGCUCCAGCUCGAUGGUCGAGCUCCGGCCUCCUCCCACAGCUGCUCCGCUUUACCGCAUGCACACGCGCAUUCAUAGCUCAUCUCCGCACCCCCGCUGUAGCUCUGCAUCCUCCAAGGUUGCUGCCUAGCUUGUCACCAUUGACACCGGUGCACACCACCAUGUUUUCAUGGAAAACGAGGCUUGCCUUCAAUACUGUCCAAAUAGCCCAGCGUCCGUUUCUUGUAUCAAACACUGAAGUAGGCCAACUGGUCACCGCUCUGCUUCUCUACGGAGGACGUGGGGUCAAGUCCCAGCCGGCCCCAUUUUUUGCUCUGUUUUCCUAUUAUUUUGCACACUCAACCGCCGGGCCAAAUCUCCUCCCGGGCCGCUGCAGUGUGUUGCAAUUCGGCCCACGUAUGUUUUUUUCCUUCUCUGGUUUUAAUAAUUUUCAAGUGCAUUGCAUGUUUACAUAAAUGCCGCUCUUUUGUAUUGUUAAUAACUAGAUAUGCUUGCAUCCAAAUUAAACAAACUAUACAUGUAAAAUGCUUAGAAUUUCAUGUAGAUUAAUAAUUCGCAACUUUCAUCCAUGUUUGAAAUGGUUAAAAUGUUGCUUGUGUUUAAUUUGCUUUAUGCCAUAUUAAAUUUUUAUAUUUCAUAACUAAAUAACUGUAGCUCCAUUUUAAUUAAACUUUAUAUGUAAAUGGGGUAGAAAAAUGCCUAGUUUAACAUGGUGCACUCAUCCUACGUGUUUAACAACUCUAAAAUAUGGUUUAGGGUAGAACAAUACCAAUCUAAAAUUUGCAUAUGAGGAUUUUCCGGAAUAGUUGUUUGUUGUUUCCAGCCUCAUUUAAACUUGCCUAAAUAGCUAGUUUAUAUAUGCUUCACCUCUUGACUUGUUUAACAACAUUUAAUAUUGAUGAGUACAUAACCGAGAGAGAACUAAAUAAGUCAUGUGGUGUUUCGUCAAUAUGCAACUCGUUGCAUAUUGAGCUCCACUUAACUUGUAGUUUUGUUUGUGCACUUUGCCAUGCCAUGCAAAUUUAAACCAGGCAUGCAUCAUACUUGCUUGUGCAUCAUGCCAUGAUUAUGCUUGGUUGUUUACCAUGUUGCUUGCUUCUUUUUGGUGUUGAUUCUUCGUGUUAGUUCCGGUAACAUCACGUUUGUGAGGAUCCGUUCGACUACGCCCGUUUGUCUUCUUCAUGGACUCGUUCUUCUUCCUUGCGGGAUUUCAGGCAAGAUGACCAUACCCUCGAAAUCACUUCUAUCUUUGCUUGCUAGUUGUUCGCUCUAUUGCUAUGCCGCGCUACCUACCACUUCCUAUAUCAUGCCUCCCAUAUUGCCAUGUCAAGCCUCUAACCCACCUUUCCUAGCAAACCAUUAUUUGGCUAUGUUACCACUUUUGCUCAGCUCCUCUUAUAGCGUUGCUAGUUGCAUGUGAAGAUGAAGCUGGUUCCAUGUUGGAACAUGGAUAUGUUGGGAUAUCACAAUAUCUCUUAUUUAAUUAAUGCAUCUAUAUACUUGGUAAAGGGUGGAAGGCUCGGCCUUAUGCCUGGUGUUUUGUUCCACUCCUGCCGCCCUAGUUUCCGCCAUGCUGGUGUUAUGUUCCUUGAUUUUGCGUUCCUUACGCAGUUGGGUGUUAUGGGAACCCCUUCACAGUUCACUUUGAAUAAAACUCCUCCGGCAAGGCCCAACCUUGUUUUUACCAUUUGCCUCACCACCACCUAUACUUUUCCCUUGGGAGUCGCGCUCCCGAGGGUCAUCUUUAUUUUACCCCCCCCGGGCCAGUGCUUCUCUAAGUGUUGGUCCGAACUAGAGUCCUUUGCAGCGCCACCUCGGGGAAACUUGAGGGCUGGUUUUAGUUGUAUGGAGUGCUCAACCGGUGUUGCCCUGAGAAUGAGAUAUGUGCAGCUCCUAUCGGGAUUGUCGGCACAUCGGGCGGUCUUACUGGUCUUGUUUUAGCAUUGUCGAAAUGUCUUGUAACCGGGAUUCCGAGACUGAUUGGGUCUUCUCGGGAGAUGGAAUAUCCUUCAUUGACCGUGAGAGCUUGUGAUGGGCUAAGUUGGGACACCCCUGCAGGGUUUGAACUUUCGAAAGCCGUGCCCGCGGUUAUGGGGCAGAUGGGAAUUUGUUAAUAUCCGGUUGUAGAGAACAUGACACUUAACUUAAUUAAAAUGAAUCAACCACGUGUGUUGCCGUGAUGGUCUCUUUUCGGCGGAGUCCGGGAAGUGAACACAGUCUUGUGUUAUGCUUGAACGUAAGUAGUUUCAGGAUCACUUCUUGAUCACUUCUAGCUUCAUGACCAUUGCGUUGCUUCUCUUCUUGCUCUCAUUUGCGUAUGUUAGCCACCAUAUAUGCUUAGUGCUUGCUGCAGCUCCACCUCAUUACCCUAUCCUACCCAUAAGCUUCAAUAGUCUUGAUCUCGCGGGUGUGAGAUUACUGAGUCCUCGUGACUCACGGAUACUUCCAAACAGUUACAGGUGCCGAUGAUACCAGUGCGGGUGGCGCAACCCAGCUCAAGUGGGAGCUCGAUGAAGAUCUUAGUCUUUGUUUUGUGUCUUUUCCGGAUGAUCAGUAGUGGAGCCCAGUUGGGACGAUCGGGGAUCUAGCAUUUGGGGUUUUCUUCUUUUAUUUUUGGUUUCGUAGUCGGAACUUGGUUGUAAUUUGGAUGGUGUAUGUUUAACUUGUAUUUGUGUGAAGUUGCAAUUGUACGCCAAAUCUUUAUCCCUUUCUUAUUCAGUACAUGGGAUUGUGUGAAGAUUACCCCUCUUGCAACAAACCUACCAUGCGGCUAUGCCUCUAAGUCAUGCCCCGACACGUGGGAGAUAUAACCGCAUUGUGGGUGUGACAUAAGGCCUCCUUUUAAUAGGAACCAGAACAAAGCAUUAC